rnacentral:rRNA from 1 species
UACGUAGGGUGCGAGCGUUAAUCGGAAUUACUGGGCGUAAAGUGUGCGCAGGUGGCCGCGCAAGUCGAGUGUGAAAGCCCCGGGCUUAACUUGGGAAUUGCGCUCGAAACUACGUGGCUCGAGUGUGGCAGAGGAAGGUGGAAUUCCACGUGUAGCGGUGAAAUGCGUAGAGAUGUGGAGGAACACCGAUGGCGAAGGCAGCCUUCUGGGCCAACACUGACGCUCAUGCACGAAAGCGUGGGGAGCAAACAGG